GACGAACGCUGGCGGCGUGCCUAACACAUGCAAGUCGAACGGGGCAUUGAGAGCUUGCUUUUAAUGCUUAGUGGCGAACGGGUGAGUAACGCGUGAGGAACCUGCCUUUCAGUGGGGGACAACAGUUGGAAACGACUGCUAAUACCGCAUAACGUAUCGGGACCGCAUGAUUCUGAUACCAAAGCUUUAUGUGCUGAAAGAUGGCCUCGCGUCUGAUUAGCUAGUUGGUGGGGUAACGGCCCACCAAGGCAUCGAUGGGUAGGGGUUCUGAGAGGAAGGUCCCCCACACUGGAACUGAGACACGGUCCAGACUCCUACGGGAGGCAGCAGUGAGGAAUAUUGGUCAAUGGAGGCAACUCUGAACCAGCCAAGUAGCGUGAGGGAUGACUGCCCUACGGGUUGUAAAGCUCUUUUUGUCCGGAACGAAACGGCUACGACCAAUACUCGUGGCUACUGACGGUACCGGAAGAAUAAGCACCGGCUAACUACGUG
rnacentral:rRNA from 1 species